rnacentral:rRNA from 1 species
AGUGAACGCUGGCGGCGUGCCUAAUACAUGCAAGUCGAACGAAGUGGCGCACGGGUGUGUAAUAUAUAGUUAAUCUGCCCUACACAGAGUAACAACAGUUGGAAACGGCUGCUACUACCUCAUAGUGUAGGCUGCGAGUAUAUCGUAGCAGCUAGUUGGUAAGGUAAUGGCUUACCAAGGCUAUGACUCGUAACUGGUCUGAGAUGAUGAUCAGUCACAUGGGAAGUGAGACACGGGCCAAACUCCUACGGGAGGCAGCAAUAAGGAAUACUGCGCAAUGGGGGGGACCCUGACGCGGCAACGCCGCGUGGAGGAUGACACUUUUCGGAGCGUAGACUCCUUUUAUCAGGAAAGCGGUACCUGAUGAAUAAGCACCGGCUAACUACGUGCCAGCAGCCGCGGUAAUAC